UGUUAGCUCAUAUCAGGCGGAAACCUCUGAAACACACGGAUUAUUGAGAACGAACUAUCGCGUUAGGUACUGUAGUAGGUACCUAGGUAGUUACAGUAACCCUUAAUCCGUUUUACCAAUGGUUGAUUUGGUUCAACUUCUACUGUUACUAAUUUCGUCAACGUAAAAAAAACCCCAUCUUGGCUUGGACAAAUGAUAACUUAGCAAGCUACAGUAGUUAUCUACCAAAUGUUGGGGGAAGAUUUGAGGACCAAAAUGUAUGCUCCUGAUCAUAUUCACUUUUCACACAGGAAGGAACUCCCGCUCGCCUCCUGCUCAAGGUGCUGCUGUUCAGGAGGAAUCUCCACUUCAGACACAGCAAGAGAGAAGGAAGGAGAUGAAGAGCGGAGGAUAUGUACGGAGCAGUCCAUAAGUAUUUGGACAGGUUUUGUUGUUUUAGCUCUGUGCUGCAUUUUGGAUUUGAAAUUAUCAGUGACAAUGGGGUUAAUUACAAACUGUCAGCAUUAAUUUCGGGAUAGAAUGUCAUAAAAAUAAGUUUUGAACAAGGGCCUCUCAUGAGGCCUAAAGAAUUGUCAAUGCAAGACAAAGGCAACCACAUAGAUUUUCAGGGCCAAAAACUGUAAUGUUCUUGACUGGCCAAAUCAAUCAACCAACAUGAAUCCAACUCAGACUAAAGGCCUGAAACCAAUAGGAACUGAAGAUGUCUGCAGUAUAUGCCGGACAGAGCAUCACCUGCAAAGUUACCCAUUGUCUAGUGAUGUCUAUAGUUUGCAGACUUCAGACAGUAAUCAAAUUAAAAGGAUUCGCAACCCAGUGCUAAAUAUGGCUGUUGAAUAUUUAGAAUUUGUCCAACUGCUUUUGGUCCCCUAAAAUGAAGGGACUAUGUAUACACAUGGAGAUGAUUUCUGCAAGGUUCAUACAGUACCCUCAAAUUAAUGCUGACCAUCUGCACUUAAACCUCUUAGUUAUUGUUUCAUUUCAAUGUGUUGGAGUACAGAGCCAAAACAACAAAACUUGCUAAUGUCUAAAUACUUAUGGACCACACUGUGUUUACCUUCUAAGUAAAUUAAUCACACAAAUUAUAUGAACACAGUAUAGUGCUCAAGGAUAUUAAAUUCUGUUUAAAAAUGUUUUAUCUUAUGGAUUUUAAGAUCCACACAUCCCUGAGUGCAGUUAGCUAGGUGCUAUUUGCUCCAAUUCACUUGUGUUUUAUGUUGACUGUGGAUUAUUAUUGUCAUAUUGUUGUGGUCAAAUUAAUUAAUAAA